AGUGAGCCGAGAUCGUGCCACUGUGCUCCAGCUUGGGCAACAGAGACUCCGUCUUGAAAAACUAAAAGUAAAAAACAAACAACAAAAAAAUAGGCUGCCUCCUUUGAGAAAUCUUCCCUCACAUCAACUAUUUCAGUCCCACCUAGCCCGGUUUUUUCUUCCUUGUGCUCUAAUAUUCGUUCCAUCAAGUUUUACGACCCGAUCACGCUGUUUGUCCAGCACCCAUACUGCUUAAAGGCUCCGGUAAUGGGCGGCCCCAGCCUGCAGCGUAGACAGUUGCCAUGGAGAAAGACAGGCGUUUCCAGAGUUGACGGUUGCCAUGGAGACAAAAGCCGCCCGCACGCAGUGGGGGCGGGGCUUACAGAACGAUUUCUGCGAUUGAUCCAUAGGAAACAGAGGCAGCCUCGUGGAUCGCCUUCUCCAUCCCGCAUACUGAAGCCAGAAUAAGCCACGACUUCGUGUGCCCCACUCGAGGGCCGCCUGACGCCAGGGUUUUUCCCGCAUCGGCCAUCAGAGGACCGUCGCCCUAAGCAGCUCCCGCGGGAUUCUGGGAAGGGUAGUUCAUCAGGGAGUCUGACAUGCGCAGAGGCAUCCGUGGGGGCCAGGGCAGCGUCGCCACCAACGUGCGGAUGCAGGUGGGGAGCAAGCUUCGCGUGGGAAGCCGACCCGAGGUCCAAGCCCCCAGUUGCCAGGUCCUCGAGGGCCCGACUGUCUAGUGACAUUCAUCGCUUACCCUCCCCAUUUUGGGCCCAUUUUGGCCUGAAGAGUGGCUCCGAGCAGUCAAGGAUUUAGGCCACCGAGGCGUCUCCGAAAUUGGAGUUCCAGAAGCCAUCCUUGGAUAACAUCUCUAUAAUCUCCUGGGAGAAUCCUUCUUCCAAGAAAUCCUCCAUCAGAGGAGAGUUCUUGGUCUCAGUCGCAUCUGAAAGACUCCCAGGAUGAGGGGGUGGAAGCCAGCGAGUGGCGAGUGAAGUCCUGAAGCUGAGCAUUGUAAUGUCUGGGUAGACCUGUGGGAGAGCUGGCGGCAGCCCAGGAUGGAGGUCUGGAGGACAGAAGGUACACAGGGGGCCCCUCUCCAUCCACUCACCAGG